CCGGGCGAAGGGCAGGGUCACAGCCCUUAGAGUGCCAACGGGCCAAAGCUCCACUCCGGGUACCACUCAUCUUAGAUCAGGUCCCCCAAAGCAGACCCCAGAUGAGGAUCCGUGUGCGUGACGCAGGAGCCUGACAGAGAACCGAGAGGGGAGAGCAGGUGUGUUUUCAACAGAGCAGAAGACCACCUGUGCCCAGCCAUGCCUCUGAGGACCAGUGUGCGGGGGAAGGUGGAUACACAGCUCUGCCCUCCAGAACGCCGCCCCACCCCUUGCCCCGCACAGGAGAAGCCACCCAUGGACUUUUGAAACCACAGGCCAGCAAGCCCCCAGGUGGCCUCUUAUUACAGGGCAGAAGGCAAGGACAAGCCCCAGGGGAUUACAGACGGGCAAGGUCACUCGGAGCCCAGGAGAUGCAAAAACAAUGCAAAAUAAAGA